rnacentral:sRNA from 1 species
GCCAGAUGCAGUGGCGCACGCCUGUAAUCCCAACAGCUCGGGAGGCUGAGGCAGGAGGAUCGCUGCUAGUUCAAAGCCAGCCUCAGCAACCUAGAGAGGCCCUAAGCAACUCAGCGAGACCCUGUCUCUA